CAGCCGCCACGGUAAUACGAAGGGUGCAAGCGUUACUCGGAAUUACUGGGCGUAAAGCGUGCGUAGGUGGUGGUUUAAGUCCGUUGUGAAAGCCCUGGGCUCAACCUGGGAAUUGCAGUGGAUACUGGGUCACUAGAGUGUGGUAGAGGAUAGUGGAAUUUCCGGUGUAGCAGUGAAAUGCGUAGAGAUCGGAAGGAACAUCUGUGGCGAAGGCGACUAUCUGGGCCAACACUGACACUGAGGCACGAAAGCGUGGGGAGCAAACAGGAUUAGAUACCCGCGUAGUCCCUGUCUCUUAUAU
rnacentral:rRNA from 1 species